GGAAUAUUGGACAAUGGGGGAAACCCUGAUCCAGCAAUGCCACGUGAGUGAUGAAGGCCCUCGGGUCGUAAAGCUCUUUCAGCGGGGAAGAAGAUCUGACGGUACCCGCAAAAGAAGCACCGGCUAACUCCGUGCCAGCAGCCGCGGUAAUACGGAGGGUGCAAGCGUUGUUCGGAAUCAUUGGGCGUAAAGCGCGUGUAGGCGGCCAAUUAAGUCUGGUGUGAAAUCCCGGGGCUCAACCCCGGACGUGCACUGGAUACUGGUUGGCUAGAGGGCGAGAGAGGAAAGUGGAAUUCCUGGUGUAGGGGUGAAAUCCGUAGAUAUCAGGAGGAACAUCAGUGGCGAAGGCGACUUUCUGGCUCGUUUCUGACGCUGAGACGCGAAAGCGUGGGGAGCAAAC
rnacentral:rRNA from 1 species